rnacentral:lncRNA from 1 species
UAACACUUAUGUAGUCAGAGAGUCACUCCUCACCAUUAUCAUACGAGCGAAGACAACAGUCGUCUAACCCUCUGUUCGCGGCGGUGGCGACGACGCACUCUUUUUUUUCUUCCUUGAUUAUGAGAACUUGAGAGGUAACCCUAUAAAGCUCUAAUCUUGAUACAAUCUCGUCCCUUCCAUUUAAUUCCCUUCACAAGUGUAGUACGCUUUGGCUUUGUUCAAUUCUAGGAGCUCUUACCAACUUCUCGACGACAGCAAUCUUUGGGAAAUUUUGGAUUAAUACCUCUGGAUCGACCCAGUCCCUCCAAAGCCUCCUGUUAGCAUCAGACAAAGGUUAGGAACUCUUUCGACUAAUUAGUUUUGAUUUCGGUCGAGUUUACUUGUGUAUUAAGCCUUCGUUGGAGCUAGGUUCACCUCCACCAAAUUUUGUGUUCAUGUUAAGAAUUUUGUGGGAUAAGAUGAUUGGAUAAUGUCUAUAGUGAUACCUACAUUUUUCAGUAUUUCCGUUUCAAUCACUAAACUUGUAGAAAUUAGAAUCGGUACUCAUCGCUUAAUAAAUUGCCUGACGUAAAUAAACUAUUGAUAUCUGCCUGUUUAGUAAUCAACUUUCUCCUUUUAGCUGCCACGACUUGAACUUUCUAGUUGUGACAUAAUACACCCAAAUAAUUUAUUAUGUAGUUUAAUCUAGUAUGAAAAUUCGGUUAAUUUUUUUUUGUAAAUUAUUAUAUUAUAGAAUUGAUUCCUAAUUGAUUUAAAGCUUGUCAUUGAUAAUAGAUUGCUAGUAUGAAACUCACUAUAUAAUAAAAACAAAGAAUUGUUUAUAAUAAUUUGAUAAUAGAAUAGAUUUAAAUUAUGAAUUAGUUAUUACUAGUUCAUACAAAGUAGACUCUUUAGUUCAUAAAUUAGACAUGAUCAAUAUCCGGUUCUUCUAGGAAAAUUAAUUAGAUCAUAAGAUCGAUUACUAACAUGAUUGAGAUUACAAAUAAUUAGUAGAGCAUAAUCAUGUGUAAAUGAAUUCGUUUGUCACACUUCACAAUCGACCAUGAAGUGGUUUUUCCCCAAGUCGACGAAUCGCCAUCCUAGACUUCUUCAACUAGGAUUGGAUUAAGUUUAAUCUUCAUAUUCUCGUCUUUAAGUUCUUAAAGACGAUCGGCUCUAUAGACCGGACUCUGAUUGCUACAUUGAGCCGCUCCCGCUUAUUUAUAAGGUGGGUGGUUUAAGGGGAUAAAUUCUUAUCGUUGCUAUAGUUAGGUUAUGCAUGUUUUAUGUUAUGUUUAAAUUAUGUAGUUCAAUUCAUUUAUGUUGAAGUCAUUUACUUUAUUCUUAUGAUGCUCUUAUGUGCAUAUAUGAUUAAGUAAGCUAGAAAAUGAUAUGAUUAAGUAGUUAGUGAACAGAAAGAACUACCAUAAGCCUAGACCUUUAGUAGACAACCUAGUAGUCAAGUGAUAUAGCAGAACAAAGCUAUUUACCUAGACUCCUGAUCCAGAAUGUCAGUGUAUGACCUUGGACCUCUAGAGAUCCACUGUUAUCAAUUGGACCACUAGAGAUCCAAUGUUUGCAUUUCAGAUCACCAGAGAUUCGUUAUUAGCUAUUGGGCCACUAGAGUCUCGUUUUUAGCUUUUGGGCCACUAGAGUCCGAUAUGAUAGUACUGGGCCACUAAAGUCCAACAUGAUAGUACUAGGCCACCAGAGACCCAUGGUGUUAUAUUAACUUUGACAAAUGGAUGGUAGGUCUAGUGAGAUGAGUUUAGGGGACGCCCUGUAGUUAUGAUAUCCUAGAUGUAUGAUGCUAGCUGAAGUUAGACAACCUUAGUAGUGGUUGAAGAGUAAUGGAAAUGAAUUUUAGCUCUAUAUGAUUCGAUGAAAUUGUGCCUUUAUGUCAGUAUAUUGAUUAUUAAGAUUAGAGCACAAAAGACUAACCCCAUCCCAGCUCAUCUUGAAGUCGAUGUUAAGAAUAUUAAACUCCUCACAAGCUUUCGAUACAACGUUGGAUCUCAAACAGGUUCGCCCACAUCCCAGCUCAUCUUCACAUCGAGUUCAACAGGAGGACUAAACGGCUUACAAUCAGUGUGUCAACCACAGAGGAGGAGAUCAACAAUGUAUUUGAGUUGAGUAACAAACACACCACUAUCAUUACGAGUAAUUUCCAAACCAAGAAAAUAACUGAGGUCACCGAGCUCCUUCAUUUUAAAGUGAUAUCGCUGGAGGUUCUCAAGUUUAGCUAUACCGUCACCAUUGCUUCCGGUGAUGAUCAUGUCAUCAACAUAUACAAGAAUGAAUGUAAUGCUGCGAGGUAACUACUUGAUAAACAGAGAGGGGUCAUUAAUACUUUGAAUGAACCCUCCUUCUAAAAUUGUAUCCUGAAACUUCUCGAACCAUGCGCGAGGGACUUGUUUGAGACCAUAUAGAGAAUGAUGAAGAAGGAAAACCUGACGAGGUGUAGAGUCGGCAUACCUCGGGGAACACGCCAUGUAUACUAUCUCCUUUAAAUUACCAUGGAGAAAGGCAUUCUUCACGUCGAGCUAUAGGUUGCCAGCAAGAUUCAGAUAGUUUGCAUUUUAGAAAAAGAAGCAAAGGUCUCAUUGUAAUCAACCCCCACUCCUGACGAUACCCUUGAGCAACAAGGCGGGCUUUAAAGCGAUUAACAUUCCCAUCCGGUUGAUACUUUACCGUAUAGACCCACCGACUUCAUAUCAGAGAGAUAUUCGGUGGAUGAGGCACCAAGUCCCACGUAUGGUUCUCGUGUAGGGCGCGUAAUUCCUUAUCCAUUGCAGCUCGUCAUCAUGGAUCCUAAAUAGCUUGUGCAAAUGUCGUAGGAAUUUCCACCGGGUCUACAUAAUAUGUGAAAAAGUCCUGAAGGUGGCAGCAAAGCUGACCAAACGUCGGACGUGGUAACCUGUAAUUGCUCUGGUGAUGGUAGAGGAGAUACAUGAGGAGUGCAUUUGGUAGCUGCGGUGAUGGCGGAUGAUCAGGGUUCAUCCCAAGGUCCACGUCCACGUGGUCAUCAAGAGGAGGGUCCUCCAAAAAUAAAUCAAGAGAUGGUGCAGGUCCAGCGACAGUAGGUGAUUGCUCUGCAUAAUAGUAGUUAUUCUCCAAGAAGAAAACAUGAUAAGAAAGUCACAUCCAUCGAAAAUGAGGAUCAUAACACAUAUACCCUUUAUGAACAUCACUAUAACCAAGAAACACACUGUGCAGUUUUAGUAGUCAACUUAGUUCGUUCACAUACAGGAAGAAGCACAUAACAAAUAUAGCUGAAUACCUGGAGACGGUCAUAAGACGACGCACGACGAUAUAAGGCCUGAUAUGGACAGGUAGUCUGCAAGACAUGAGUAACCUAUCGGUAAAUUAAGUAGAUAACCGUGUGACAUGGUAUUACUGCCCGAGUGAGACCAAGAACAUGACUAUGUUUGCAUUCGACAACUCCAUCUUAUUGAGAGAUACCCGGACACGACAUUUGAGAGAGAAUACCAUGCUCCCUAUCAAACUGGUGUAAGGCGGUAGAGUUGAAUUUGCCACCAGGAUCAGAUCGAAUUGUUUUAACGGCGGUAUGAAAUUGAGUCUGAACUAUCUGAAUAAACUCUUGAGUAGCAUUAAGAAACUCUGAUUGAAACCGCAGAAAAUAAAUCCAUGUAUACCGAGUAGCAUGAUCAAUGAAGAGUGCAAAGUACUGGUAACCCAAACGUGAAACAACUAGUGCAUGCCCUUAUAAAUAAGUAUGAACAAGAUCAAAAGGUGUUGAAAUAUCAUUCGUACUGCUAGUAAAGGUCUGUUAACUGUCUUGGCCUCAAUACAACUAGUACAAGAUGGAAUAAGCUGAUCAUUUAACUUAAUACUAAAAGUUAAUAAAUUUUCUUGAAACAUAGUAGUAAGGCAUUCAGAAUGGGGAUGUCCCAAACGUGAAUACCAUAAUCUCCAUGCUGCAAAUCCUGGACGAGUGCCAUUAGUCGGCAGAGGGGAAGACUCUGAAACGGGAUUAAGUUGCUAGAGACAAAAUGUGCACCCUUGUUUACUCCCCUUCCCGACCUCCUUAUGGGUUCGUAGAUCCUACACAGAACAACCAGAGGAUUUGAAUGUGACACGAUAUCCAUUAUUGAUAAGCUGACCAACAGAGAGUAAAUUAGGAGUGAAUUGGGGCACAUGGAGAACGUUGUCGAGACAAAGUGAGGGUGUGGAGAUAGAUCCAUAACCAGCAACAGGUAUAGUAUCAUCAUUAGCCACACGGGCAUUAUGACUUUAUAUAGGGAAGUAGGUGCUAAAAAGAGAUUUAUCUCCUAUCAUGUGAUUGUAAGCAACAGUAGUAGCAAAUGCUGAAUGUAUUCUAGAAGAAAGCAAUAUAGGAAGUGCUUGUUGUACAAGGGCUUCGAUGGAAGUAGCCGAGAGUGGAUCAGGGGUCUCAGUCGAGUGAACAGAAGCAGCAACAGUAGUAUAGGCGUUAAGACCUGCUUAGUUCAAUGAUUUGGCAGCUCGAUUUUUCAGAAUCGGACAGUCCAGUAUAAUGUGAUCGUGAGUUUUGCAAAAAUUCCUCUUGUGGUAGUGCAAUGUAUUGUGCCCUUUGAUACUGCAGUGAUGACAAAAAGCAUCCACAGAUGAAGUCGAGGCAGCAACCAUAGAGGAUGAUUUAUGGUUUGAGUUAUAAGUUGGUGCCGCCGCAAAAAACGCGAAUGAGGGUGAGCUAGGAGGAUCAAUCUGAGCUUGCGUUUUAAAACACGUUUCAACACGAAUCUAUUCACCCAAGACCUGUUCCAAGUCAGUAGUAUUGUUGCUAACCAUUAUAGACCAGACAUGUUCAAACUCGAGUUGAAGCCGCAUAAGAAAGUGGAGGACUCGACUGUGGUGUCGUUCCUUAGUGAGAGAUGCACUUGUAACAUAAUCAUGAAUGGAAAUAGCCAUAAGAUCUUGUUCCGCCUAGAGUUGACUCGCUGUGAGAUAAUACCUAUGAAUGUCGAGGUCGCCUUGACACAGUUUAGCAAGCUCGUACUCAACUUCAAGUGCUUCCAGAUCAUUGAGGCUGAUGUAAAACAUCAGAGAGAAAGCAUGAUUGGGGCCGUAACCGAGCCAAGAAUCCAAUAGACCACCUUGGCGUUGUUGUUUUCUCAAGUAAGAGCAGCCUUUUCAUGAGAUUUGGUCGUUGUCGCCGUCACGGGAACAGCCUCUGAAUCAGUAGUAAUCGACGUAGCAGAAGGAGGAGUAGGAGCGGCCGUAUCUCCAUUAAGAUACCCGAGAAACCCAUUUGCUUGAACGUGGAGACGAAAUUGAUGUUCCCAAAAAGCGUAAUUUUUUUCCAACGAAGCGAGUAGUAACAUAAUCAUCUUUGAAAGUCCAUCGAAGGCUCUGAUACCAUGAAUAGCUAUGAGAAAUUGAGAGAAGAGGAUGAUCAAAGAUAGGACAAAAGCCAAUUAUAUUGCUUAAGGAGUUUGAUUACAAUUCAAGGAUUAUGUAUAGGUUAGGAAGACUUAACCUAAACCCUAUAAUAUAGGAAUCAAUAAAUAUAUUGACAAAAUAUAUAUUCCCAUUUUAAUAAGUGUAAACUCAAAAACGAGGAUACAUGGGGCAGGGGUCGUCAUUAAAAGCAUAACAUGACCCUUUUCCUUACUCUCCUGACAAAUUAAUACCAAAAUCAGCUAACCUAGACACUUGACAUAACCCAAAAUUCAAACAAAAACAACUAGUAAUCAUCCGAAAAGAAAAGCAACAAAAUCAAAUCAAAAUCCGAACAUGCCUAGUCUAUUUAGAGGAAGAAAAAAAGAGUGCGUAGAGGAAACUAUGGUCGUCUGCCGUUGUCUAUUCAAGGUGACCCGCCUCCGUAGUGCCGUUCUGAUGCCAUAGCUAUGCUUUUUGCAGAAUUUUGAUGGUUUGUGACCGAAGUUUUAAUCCAAGGACAUGUCUAUAACCUGCCGUUCCACCAUCGUCGUAGUCAUUGAAGCCAUCGCCAGAUCUGGAUCCAUUGUGCAAAGGAGCGAUGACAUAGAGGUUGUUUGCCGCAGGGGAUCCGACCUAAUAGUGAAAUCGAGCAAAGAGGAUGUUUCGCUACGGAAAUCCGAGCUGGUGAGGAUGCCCCUUAAAAGUACGAUCUGAUGAUGAUGUUCGCGGAGUAUGAGCUGGUGGUGAAAUGGAUGAUAGAUGGGUGGCGGCGGGUUGGAUAGAUGAUGGGAGGCGGGUUGGACAGUUGAUUUGUAGGAGCGACGAGUUUGAAC